rnacentral:rRNA from 1 species
CCAAUAGCGUAUAUUAAAGUUGUUGCAGUUAAAAAGCUCGUAGUUGAAUUUCGGGAUCAAUACGUCGGUCGUGCUUUCGGGUACGUACUGGCGUCAUUGGUUUCUCCUUUCUGACGAACCAUGAUGUCAUUAAUUUGGUGUUAUGGGGAGUUAGGACUGUUACUUUGAAAAAAUUAGAGUGUUUAAAGCAGGCAUUAGCUUGAAUACAUUAGCAUGGAAUAAUGAAAUAGGACGUUCGAUCCUAUUUUGUUGGUUUCUAGGAUCAACGUAAUGAUUAAUAGGGAUAGUUGGGGGCAUUAGUAUUCAAUCGUCAGAGGUGAAAUUCUUGGAUUUAUUGAAGACUAACUACUGCGAAAGCAUUUGCCAAGGAUGUUUUCAUUAAUCAAGAACGAAAGUUAGGGGAUCGAAGACGAUCAGAUACCGUCGUAGUCUUAACCAUAAACUAUGCCGACUAGGGAUCGGAUGAUGUUAAUUUUUUAAUGACUCAGUCGGCGCCUUACG